AGCAGCCGCGGUAAUUCCAGCUCCAAUAGCGUAUAUUAAAGUUGUUGCAGUUAAAAAGCUCGUAGUUGAAUUUCGGGGUUAGUAGGUUGGUCAUGCCUCUGGUAUGUACUGGUCUCACUGAUUCCUCCUUCCUGAUGAACCUUAAUGUCAUUAAUUUGGUGUUUUGGGGAAUUUGGACUGUUACUUUGAAAAAUUAGAGUGUUUAAAGCAGGCAUUUUGCUUGAAUACAUUAGCAUGGGAUAAUAAAAUAGGAUGGCAUGAUUCUAUUUUGUUGGUUUCUAGGAUCACCGUAAUGAUUAAUAGGGAUAGUUGGGGGCAUUAGUAUUCAAUUGUCAGAGGUGAAAUUCUUGGAUUUAUUGAAGACUAACUACUGCGAAAGCAUUUGCCGAGGAUGUUUUCAUUAAUCAAGAACGAAAGUUAAGGGGAUCGAAGACGAUCAGAUACCGUCGUGGUCUUAACCAUAAACUAUGCCGACUAGGAAUCAGACGAUGUUAAUU
rnacentral:misc_RNA from 1 species